GAAGAUGUCCCUCAGAAAAGUUGUUCCAGCCGUAGAAGUAGAUUAUCUGGAGCAGAGGUAUAACGGCGAAAAGGGAUUGCUUGGACUGUAGAGGAACACAGAUUGUUUCUCAUGGGGUUGGAGAAAUAUGACAGAGGUGACCUGCAGAGCAUAUCGAGGAACUGUGUAUUAUCUAGAACACCAACACAGAUGACAAGCCAUGCGCAGAAGUUCUUCAGUCAAUUAAAUGACGUUAAUAAAGUAAAGAAGAGAAGAAGCAUUCAUGAUAUCACUAGUAUGGAUGCUGCUGAUAUUACUGAACCUUCACAAGGACAAAAUUCUAACAAGUUGAAAGGAUCAUAUUGAGGACAAUUAAAAUGGCCAAGCACCGACUAUGUCACUGAAGCUUUUGACACAGGGAUGGUAUAUUUACCAGGGCCAGUUACCAACGAUCCUAUUGAAGGACCAUCAGUUGUUAAUCCCGAGAAAUUCCCUGUUGGUAGUGAGUUGAAUAGUUCAUUUCCCGACGUGGAUGAGUUCCUGCAAGGUAUAGAAGACCUAUCAAUAUACCAGCAGAGGGUACCUUAGGAGCGUGGCAUGGGGUUGACACUAGGAUGUCUCCAUCACUUAGCCUGCAACCAUCUAUUGCUGGUGGUGGGACCGGAAUGUACAGUUAUCCAGUAAAUAAGGUCGGGUCGCUAGAAGAGCUAAUGAACAAACCAUUGGUAGGAGCCACUCAAGUAGCUCCUAUAAUUAACACUGCAAUUUUUCCAUUAUCAUUUGCUAAUCAUAUUGGAGUCCUUGGUUGUACAGCUUCUAGCAGAGGUGCUAAGAAUGGUUUUAAAAGCACCGUGGAAGGUCCCAUGGGAGCUUUCUGUCGAAUCCAUGCAAUUACCAUCAAUUCCUGGAACUAGUGGCGGUGGCACUUAUUAUCCCAGUUCAAUUUUAGCAGCAAUGACGAUACCAUCUUUGAUCUGGAAGACCUAUUCCCAGAUCAUAUAAUUGGUUUUGGCAAAUAAGAGUCUAUCGUUUAUAGUGGUAAAUCAUAAUUUGUAUCUAUUUCACUAGAGCGACUACUCCUUUGUUUCGGAUGAGCCAAUGCAGCAGGGGCCUUUUACUUCACUAACUCUCGUGCCAUUACGCGGUCCUAACCCAGACGGUUCAGUUGCAACAUUGUUUUAUCGUCACAUCCUUCUAUAGGAAAACUUAUCACCAUUGCCAAUAACUGCCCUCCACUGAUCAGGAAGUCUGAGAUAGAGUAUUAUGCUAUGUUGGCCAAGGCGGGAGUCCACCACUACAACGGAAGUA